rnacentral:lncRNA from 1 species
GUGGUGACCUGGGAAUCAAUGUGUGAGGUGGUGCUAUGUAGCAGGAACCCCUCUUGCUUUGCAAAUAGUUUUUUGUUUGUUUUCCUUUUUGCCCAAUAGAGCCCUGCUCUACUGACCCUUCAAUGUGCCCGUGUGCCUAAAUAUUCCUGGUCGUGUGAAAAGAACCCAGGUAUUAGCUGAACUAAGGAGCACAAUUCUGCAACAUUUUGGCACCCAAACACGGGGCUUGAGAAAUGAAUGCAAUUGGAGAAACUGGUUGUUUUACCAGGCGUUGAUUGGAAAUGUGUGCUUCCCUUUAAGCAGUCAAGCUCAACUUGCAGAACUGAUGGGAACCCCUUGGGAAAACUGGCCUCAAAUGUUUGUCUACACAGUCCACAUACAGGGUUCUUAACCUGCGUUUUUACCUACAUUUUAGACUGACCCUGCUUGUGCCUGUGAACCAACCAACAAUCUCUGGCUGCAGCUCAGAAAGGACAAAAGAGAAUGGUGGACUGGAGCCCAAAAUGCACACUGGAGGAAGUGGAUGGAGCCACGUGGAUGUCAUGCCUUAUGCAGGGGAGGAGCCUGCUCUCUUCAGCUCCUGUGGUAAUGUGGGAAUCGAUCUGUGAGAUUCCAUGAACUCCAAGUUAAGAACACAUGAUCUGGAUGUUUGACAAAAUACCUUCAGCAGGAAUAAUGAAAGCCCUGACAUUUCUGUGUGCAUAAAAACUGGAAAACUUUAAAAGUAAUAAAUCA